UUGAUUGAUUCAAAUAUUGACUCGGACGCAGAGAUGCAGAGUUGUGAGGUCCGUCGGGGGCCCCGGCGCCCGAAGACGGUCCGGGUCGCCCCCGAGGCAACGGGGUCGGUUAACAUGGGGUUGGAGGUCGGGCCCGGGGGGCCCUCGCUCGGUAAUGAUCCCUCCGCAGGUUCACCUACGGAGA
rnacentral:misc_RNA from 1 species